rnacentral:tRNA from 7 species
GCGGGGGUGCCCGAGCCUGGCCAAAGGGGGCGGACUUAAGAUCCGCUGCCGAAGGGCUACGCGGGUUCGAAUCCCGUCCCCCGCACCA